rnacentral:lncRNA from 1 species
GUCGGCUUGUCAACACGUCUUUUCCAAGAAAAGCUUGUCUGCACUAAAGGAUUUUACUGCUCAAAUAAAAUAAAAGAGUUGUUCAACAAAAAAUGACAUGAAAUGGUCAUGGAGAUGGUAUUUCACAGCACUUCCGGCAUGGUGCACUGCGACAAUGCCGUUGAGCAAAGAGAGCAAAAUCACACAACGACGACUGGAAGACAGGAACUUUGACUGCCGUUGCUGUGGCAGAGGGAAAACAGUGCAGUCAUCUGACAUCGUGUCCCAGCGUGGGCUGCAGAGAAUGUUGCGACUGACGUGCCCUGAUUAGUGUGUGUCUACAUGUGUGUGUAUACGCUUGUGUGAGUGUAUGUGUGUGUGUCUGGCCACCUUUCCCGCUCCUGAUCCCCUUAAUCCUCUCAGCCAUCAUGGCUCAAACAGCCCUGCAUUCCCGCGGCAACACCAUUUCCCUGAGUUUCCCGUCCGGAUUGAACCCAAACCACCCCCCACCACCCCGGCGCCCACCUCCCCUCGCCCCCUCCCUCCACCUCUCCAUCCCAUCACAUCACACACUGUGCAGAGAUGUCAGCGGGUUCACUGCGAUGCAGGCGGGCGAUCCCAUCCCAGGAAAUCUUCAUGGAAAGUUUCGAAGAGCCUUAGAGGGAGUGGCCUACCCUGAACCCAGGCCCCUCGGGGCCGUGAUCCACCCCCAUUUGUGCUGCUGUUAUAAAGAAUGCACCUCUAAACCACUUUCCCACCACUAAGAGGAUUACCAAGGUAAUGCUUCAUAUCAAAAAGAUGCUACGGUCGAUCUAGCCGCUGGGAGGCUGAAUUUAAUUAUUCAUGUAGAAGACUGAUGUCAGACUGGACACUGUCCUGUACUGUGACGAAAACCUUAUGUAUGUCCACGUGAGGGUCAAGACCAUGUUGCAAACCAUGUCAGUCCACAAACGUAACUGAUACUGUAGUAACCACUGUAAAAGCACUUUAGCCUGCGUAAGUAUACCUUUUCAAAUCACCCUAGUUAAGGUCACAUGCUGGGAGAGAUAAGAUGGGUGGAAGCAAAUGACAGCUAUUAGCAUAGAAAUUGGACAGGAUGGAAAUGAAUAUUGAGUAUAGGAUGCUUAGCCCUGGAGUCAAUAGUCAAACAGUCUAAAUGUGUUCUAUAAUGUCCAUGACCUAAUGUACAGACCUUAACAUUAUCAAUAUACUACACAUUGCUUUUAAAACUCUUUACUGUGUUGCUGUUAAGUAUCGACAACAAGUUGAUGGUCCAUUCUGUAAAAUAAAACUCUGCGUCAAAUGAUUCUGCCUUCAUUUUAGCCGUCAUCCCACAUGACAGAAAGUGGUGUCGGUGUUGUGGGUCCCCUCAUGCUUUGGUUUUCCACUCUUUGUGACGGUGUUGAUGUAGGCAAUGUUUACGCACUGUCUCCUGGCCGGCACAGACAUCAUGUCCGAUCAGGAUCAACUGGUGCGUGUGUGUGUGUUUCUGUGUGUGUGUGUGUGUGUGUGUGUGGGAUACCAAAACAAAACUCACUUCCUCUUUGGCGACAUGUUUGCCUUUCAGUCUGAUGGCUACUAGCCCUUUGUGUCUCCAGUGUGGAAUGGCACUCACUAACCUAUUUUCUCCCCUCUAAACAUGACAAACUUGACAAACUGUGUUCAAGGUAGUACAUCCUAAAUGCCCAACAUCACCUCAUCCCUGAAAUGUACAUGUUUUGGAAAGCAUUGCUUUGGCACCUGCAAAUUAAAUCAAUGCUAUGUCUGUUGUAGAAAAGGAAUACAAUCUCAUAAAAAUGUAUUUUUUUUAAAAUAUGAAGAUUUUCAAUUUCGAUUUCAAUGGAUAAGUUAGAUAACAAUUUGAGCUUCUACUUUUAAAAAUCCACCUUUCCAGAAACAAGUCUCUCACCGUUGCCGCUUGCUAUAGACCACCUUCUGCCCCCAUGUCACAACAUCGACGGAAGGUGGCGCCCCUCC